AACGAACGCUGGCGGCAGGCCUAACACAUGCAAGUCGAACGUGAAGCCACCUUCGGGUGGUGGAAAGUGGCAGACGGGUGAGUAACGCGUGGGAACGUGCCUUUCGGUUCGGGAUAACCCAGGGAAACUUGGGCUAAUACCGGAUACGCCCUCCGGGGGAAAGAUUCAUUGCCGAAAGAUCGGCCCGCGUCGGAUUAGCUAGUUGGUGGGGUAAAAGCCUACCAAGGCGACGAUCCGUAGCUGGUCUGAGAGGAUGACCAGCCACACUGGGACUGAGACACGGCCCAGACUCCUACGGGAGGCAGCAGUGGGGAAUAUUGGACAAUGGGCGCAAGCCUGAUCCAGCCAUGCCGCGUGGGUGAAGAAGGCCCUAGGGUUGUAAACCCCUUUCAGCGGGGAAGAUAAUGACGGUACCCGCAGAAGAAGCCCCGGCUAACUCCGUGCCAGCCGCCGCGGUAACAC
rnacentral:rRNA from 1 species